AACGCACAUUGCGCCCCUUGGUAUUCCGGGGGGCAUGCCUGUUCGAGCGUCAUUUCAACCCUCAAGCUUAGCUUGGUAUUGGGCUUCGUCAGUAAAAUGACGGGCUUUAAAAUCAGUGGCGGCGCCACUAGGCCCUGAACGUAGUAAUAUAUUUCGUUAUAGGUGUCUAGUGUGCUUCUGCCAUUAAACCCCCAAUUUUUUAUGGUUGACCUCGGAUCAGGUAGGGAUACCCGCUGAACUUAA
rnacentral:misc_RNA from 1 species